UGAAUACGAGGCACUAAGGUGCUGAAGUAGUGUAUGUCAUACUUCCAAGAAAAGCUUGCACUAUCGUAAGAUAAAAAUGCCUGUACCAUAACCGACACAGGUGGGUAGGUAGAGUAUACUAAGGGGCGCGAGAUAACUCUCUCUAAGGAACUCGGCAAAAUAACUCCGUAACUUCGGGAGAAGGAGUGCCUUAUUCUAUAAGGUUGCAAUAACAAGAUCCAAGCAACUGUUUAUCAAAAACACAGGUCUCCGCUAAGUCGUAAGACGAUGUAUGGGGGCUGACGCCUGCCCAGCGCCAGAAGGUUAAAGAAGUCGGUUAGCAAUUGCGAAGCUGGUAACUGAAGCCCUGGUGAACGGCGGCCGUAACAAUAACGGUCCUAAGGUAGCGAAAUUCCUUGUCGGGUAAGUUCCGACCCGCACGAAAGGCGUAAUGAUUUGGAUACUGUCUCGGAGAGGGACUCGGUGAAAUAGACUUGUCUGUGAAGAUGCGGACUACCUGCACCAGGACAGAAAGACCCUAUGAAGCUUUACUGUAACUUGAAAUUGAAAUUGGACUUUAUUCGCGCAGUAUAGGUGGGAGGCGUUGAUUAUAAUCUUGUGGGAUUAUUGGAGCCAUUAGUGAGAUACCACUCUUGUAAUGUUAGAUUUCUAACUUUGAAUCAUGAUCUGGUCAAAGAACAGUUUCAGGCGGGCAGUUUGACUGGGGCGGUCGCCUCCUAAAUGGUAACGGAGGCGUACAAAGGUUUCCUCUGAACGGGUAGAAAUCGUAUCUAGAGUGUAAAGGCAUAAGGAAGCUUGACUGUGAGACCUACAAGUCGAGCAGGGACGAAAGUCGGUCUUAGUGAUCUGACGGUACUGAGUGGAAAGGCCGUCACUCAACGGAUAAAGUUACUCUAGGGAUAACAGGCUGAUCUCCCCCAAGAGUUCACAUCGACGGGGAGGUUUGGCACCUCGAUGUCGGCUCAUCGCAUCCUGGGGCGGUAGUACGUCCCAAGGGUUGGGCUGUUCGCCCAUGAAAGCGGUACGCGAGCUGGGUUCAGAACGUCGUGAGACAGUUCGGUCCAUAUCCGGUGUAGGCGUUAGAAUAUUGAGAGGAGCCUUCUUUAGUACGAGAGGACCGAGAAGGACAUACCUCUGGUGUACCAGUUAUCGUGCCAACGGUAAACGCUGGGUAGCUAUGUAUGGAGUGGAUAACCGCUGAAAGCAUCUAAGUGGGAAGCCCACCUCAAGAUAAGUAUUCUC
rnacentral:rRNA from 1 species